UGUCUUUGCAGCACUGAUUCUGAAGAGAACGUCUUCACAUAGGACUCAAAGGAAAUCAGUGUCCAAAGGAAACAGCAGCCCAGACUCUGAUUCCAGCUCCGAAGAUGCUCUCAGAUUCAGAUCCAUCAGCAACCACUGACAACAUGGAGGACUCGUCCCGAGUGUUUCCUGUCCUCUCUCGAUGGUCUUCUUCUCUUCAGUUAUUAACUCUUGAAAUCAGCAGCACAACAUGCCAGACUGUUUGACAAGUCUGUGAUUGAAUACAUUUAAAUGGAAUCUCAUGCAUAUCUUGUUAUGCUUAUUGGCUUUAAAUGUUUAAUAUUAAAUAAGUUUGAAGGCCAUUUAUCUCAGACGAGCCCGGCUGUGACAAGCUGAGCUUGUCUGUUAGCUUUGCUGUUGUCUUAGCUGUUGGUGGUCAAGAAGAAAUUAAUGUCAGUUCAAGGCCUUUUCAAAUGUGAGCUAUAAACUUAACUGCUAAAUUAUCUUACUGUGACCAACACAUUGUAGUGCUCCAGUUAAUCAGAAAGUCAUGUCAGAUUUUUUAAAAGUUUAUUUAAACAUUUUAUGAAAAAAAAACCACCUCAAUAAACAACCCCUGGCUUCAUUAACCAUGUGGAAAAUAAGUAAGGGAGACCAUCAGGUUGAACUGCUGGGACAUAGGAGAAAGUAUAAAACAUAAUUUAACAAAGAAAUCCCAACAAAAAUCAAAUAAAGUAUAGAGAUCCUGGAUGAUUGUUUGACUGUUAAAAUAUGACGGAAAAGCAAAUCCAACACAACCCUCCAUCAUUUAGCCUUUCAAACACAGGGCAACAUC